GGGGUGGUGGUGUAUGAAAAGGAAUAGCAUGUGCACCUAUUAAACUGAACGACAUUCCUUCCCUCCUCCUUCCUAUCUCCGAAUUAUACAAGAAAAGAGAUACUUAGAGGGGUGUACCUAUUUUUUUUUUUUUUAAUUAUACUGUCCGAGCCUUUGAAAGAUCAUCUUAGGACAGUGAAGAUUAAGGGCUGCUUUGGUGCGGGAUAAUAAAACAGCGCUCUUAAACUCUCCGAUCUGCCCUGCCUUAUUUAUAUUGUACUUAAGGGUCUCUGUUCUUGCCAGAGAGGGAGGGUCCGCUCUGUUACGAGCAGAUCCACAUCGAUUUUAGGCGGCUACCUGCCUUUGCUGGAUGAAAGGCAAUUUACUCCCGGAGCGGUGAAUUGUCAGUUCCCUCUGUGAUUGACAGCCACACCUGCCACUUAUGUGGGCAGAUCGGGGACCGGUGAAGUCCCGAGAGCCAAUCAAUGCUUGGGAGAGGAGGGCAGCUCCCACUUGUCAUGGUUAGUUUCCUGGUUGGCUUUUUAAAUCAGUGGUUUUACUUAACCAUUGGUUUGCACCAGGUAUGAGGUUCCAGCUGUGAGAGGCAGACAAACGGAAGAAAACUCUUCGAAAAUGGGCUUAGAAGCAAAUCUCUGAUUGGUCUCAUUUUCUGGUACAGACUGUGAAAAGAAUGCGGUGAAAAUUCUGGCCAACGGUGGAAAUACCAGCUUAAUCCCCAACUUAGCAUAGCAUUCUUUCUCUUCAGUAGCACCUCGUAAUAGAAGAAAAAUGUAUGGAAGUGCAAGAACAAUCACCAAUCUGGAAGGUAGCCCUUCCAGAUCUCCUCGUUUGCCAAGAUCUCCUCGUUUGGGCCACCGAAGAACGAGUAGUGGGGGAGGUGGAGGAACAGGCAAGACUCUGUCCAUGGAGAAUAUCCAGUCCCUAAAUGCAGCUUAUGCUACGUCUGGACCCAUGUAUCUGAGUGAUCAUGAAGGAGUGGCUUCUACAACUUACCCAAAGGGCACUAUGACUCUGGGAAGGGCCACAAAUCGAGCUGUAUAUGGAGGUCGAGUCACAGCCAUGGGGAGUAGUCCCAAUAUUGCUUCUGCUGGACUUUCCCACACAGAUGUCCUUUCAUACACAGAUCAACAUGGUGGUCUGACCAGUUCAUCCCAUCAUCACCACCACCAGGUUCCCUCCAUGUUGAGGCAGGUAAGGGAUAGCACAAUGUUAGACCUUCAAGCCCAGCUCAAGGAACUUCAGAGAGAGAAUGACCUCCUCCGGAAAGAGCUAGACAUCAAGGACAGCAAGUUGGGAUCUUCCAUGAACAGUAUCAAGACUUUCUGGAGUCCUGAGCUCAAAAAGGAAAGAGUCUUGAGGAAAGAAGAGGCAGCCCGGAUGUCUGUCCUCAAGGAGCAGAUGAGGGUUUCUCAUGAAGAAAAUCAGCAUCUGCAGUUGACAAUCCAGGCCCUUCAGGAUGAGCUGCGAACCCAGAGAGACCUCAACCACCUCCUGCAGCAAGAGAGUGGCAACCGAGGAGCCGAGCACUUCACUAUUGAGCUGACCGAGGAGAACUUCCGGCGGCUCCAAGCUGAGCAUGACAGGCAGGCUAAGGAGCUGUUCCUGUUGAGGAAGACCUUGGAGGAAAUGGAGCUGAGAAUCGAAACGCAGAAACAGACCCUCAAUGCCCGAGACGAGUCAAUUAAAAAGCUCCUUGAGAUGUUGCAAAGUAAAGGUUUGCCAUCCAAAAGUCUUGAGGAUGACAAUGAACGGACACGGCGCAUGGCAGAAGCUGAGUCUCAAGUCAGCCACUUAGAAGUGAUUUUAGACCAGAAAGAGAAGGAAAACAUACAUCUUAGAGAGGAAUUGCACCGAAGAAGUCAACUUCAGCCGGAGCCAGCCAAGACGAAGGCUCUCCAGACUGUCAUUGAAAUGAAGGACACAAAAAUCGCUUCAUUGGAGCGAAACAUAAGGGAUCUUGAGGAUGAGAUCCAGAUGUUAAAAGCCAAUGGUGUGCUGAACACUGAGGACCGCGAAGAAGAGAUCAAACAAAUAGAGGUUUACAAAAGUCACUCCAAGUUCAUGAAAACCAAGAUUGAUCAGCUGAAGCAGGAACUUUCAAAGAAGGAGUCAGAACUUCUUGCCUUACAAACAAAGCUUGAAACCCUUAGCAAUCAAAAUUCAGAUUGCAAGCAACACAUUGAAGUGCUUAAAGAGUCGCUUACUGCCAAAGAACAGAGAGCUGCCAUCCUUCAGACUGAGGUAGAUGCGUUGAGAUUACGACUGGAAGAGAAAGAAUCUUUUCUCAAUAAAAAAACAAAACAGCUACAGGACCUCACAGAAGAGAAGGGGACACUGGCUGGAGAAAUUCGCGACAUGAAGGAUAUGUUAGAAGUGAAGGAAAGAAAAAUCAAUGUCCUUCAGAAAAAGAUUGAAAAUUUGCAAGAACAACUUAGGGAUAAAGACAAGCAACUGACCAAUCUGAAGGACAGAGUGAAGUCCUUGCAGACGGAUUCCAGUAACACAGAUACUGCACUAGCAACACUCGAGGAGGCCUUGUCAGAGAAGGAGAGAAUAAUUGAGCGUUUGAAAGAACAGCGGGAGAGAGAUGAUCGGGAAAGGCUAGAAGAGAUAGAAUCCUUCCGAAAAGAGAACAAAGACCUGAAAGAGAAGGUCAAUGCUUUACAAGCCGAACUGACUGAAAAAGAGUCUAGUUUAAUUGACCUCAAGGAACAUGCAUCUUCAUUAGCCUCAGCAGGGCUGAAAAGAGACUCCAAAUUAAAAUCUCUAGAAAUAGCCAUUGAACAAAAGAAGGAAGAAUGUAGCAAAUUGGAAGCACAGUUAAAAAAGCAAGCUGAGCAGUUGUUCAAUCAGAUGUACAACCCAGCUCAUAAUGUUGAAGAUGACUCCAGGAUGAACCCCGAGUUUGCAGACCGAAUAAAACAGCUUGAUAAAGAGGCAUCUUACUACCGUGAUGAGUGUGGCAAGGCCCAAGCAGAAGUCGACCGGUUGCUGGAGAUCCUCAAGGAGGUGGAGAAUGAAAAGAAUGACAAGGACAAGAAGAUUGCAGAACUUGAGAGCUUGACUUUCAGGCACAUGAAGGAUCAGAAUAAGAAGGUGGCCAACCUCAAGCACAAUCAACAGUUGGAAAAGAAGAAGAAUGCCCAGUUACUGGAAGAAGUUCGCAGGCGAGAAGAUAGCAUGGCUGACAACUCGCAGCAUCUACAGAUAGAGGAACUGAUGAAUGCACUGGAGAAGACCAGACAGGAACUGGAUGCCACCAAGGCUCGCCUUGCCUCCACGCAGCAGUCCCUGGCUGAAAAAGAAGCACACUUGGCCAACCUCCGGAUAGAAAGGAGGAAACAGCUGGAGGAGAUCCUGGAGAUGAAACAGGAAGCACUGCUUGCUGCCAUCAGUGAAAAAGAUGCAAACAUUGCCUUGCUGGAAUUGUCUGCCUCCAAAAAGAAAAAGACGCAGGAAGAAGUCAUGGCCCUCAAGCGGGAGAAGGAUCGCCUAGUGCAUCAGUUAAAGCAGCAGACCCAGAACAGAAUGAAGCUGAUGGCAGACAACUACGAUGAGGACCACCACCAUUACCACCACCACCACCAUCAUCACCACCACCGAUCUCCUGGGAGGUCGCAACAUUCCAAUCACAGGCCUUCUCCCGACCAGGAUGACGAGGAGGGCAUAUGGGCAUAGCCGGGCCUGUAAACCAAAGUUCCAGUUUUGUUUUGAGGGAUGAUCCAGCUCUGUCGGAGGCACGGAGGCACAGUCAAAUCUCAUGCUGUACAUUGAUCACCUGUCCAACCUUUGCCUAGAGUGGGAGCCCCCAGUUCCUUCAAGAGAUCCAACUUUACCUGUCUGUAAAGAAGAAGAGGAGGAGGGAGACAGCGGGGAGGAGCCGGUGGCGGUUUAACACCAGAGCAGCUAUCAGAAGGGCUGAGUAAAGGGAAAACACAGCUCUGCAGCAAUAUUCUGAUGAUCUACUGCGGUGUGGCUCACAUCACUGUCCGUCACCACCUGGAACGCCCAUCAGGACUGAAAGAGGGGUUUUCACUUCCAUUACUGAGCACAAUUCUGUUCAACUGGAUAUUUCCUUCAUCAUCUCAUGUCCUUUCUCAUGGAUUCAGAUAUGUUGGAAAGGAAGGAGGAGGAGGAGGAGAAAAAUGACAGAUCCUCUGUUUUUUUGUCAGGAUUGGGGCAUUUAAAAUGUGAUCAUCUCUUCUGAAUGUCAUUAUUUGAUAGCAUUUUAUUUAUAUUACUUCAACAUCAUUGGAUACAUUUGAACUCCAUGGGAUUUUAACCGUGGAUUCAGCUUCUGUUGGACAACUAGCUUCAUCUCCAGUUCUUCUGCUGGUUCAGUCUAAGUGGUCAUUCCUAAUGCAUUAGAUUACCCACAAGUGUAAAUUCUGUGAGUGAGUGGUGUUGGCAGUGUUUGUGUACCAAGAUGCAUGGAAUGUUUGACAAAGAAACCAAAACACCAAAAAUGGAGAGCCUUUACCCUCCUCUAUUUCUUUAAUCUGCUGUUUGAAGAACCGCAUUUUGAUGGUGUAACCAGUAGUUACCUCUGGGCCAGGUUGGAAAUGAAAUCAAUUUUUUAAACCACUAAUACUUGCCAAGAAAUCGCCUUAUGAGAACAUGGUGUGUGUCUCUGACAAUGCAUGGCACAUCUAAAUUGAUCAUUCAUAAUUUUAUCUGCCCUGUUUUUGUACUGGGGAAUGACAAAAGCCUGAGGCACCUGCACAUUUCUAUCCGUGUGUUCCCACGCCCCCGUGGCUGGGAUGUGGCCGAGCCUCAGGCUCUUACCGUUCCCGUACAGUACACGCAGGUCUCCAUGAAGAAGCUGGGGUUCAUUUACACUUCAAGAUCUAAAUGCUGUGCAAACUGUGUAAGCUUAGAUCUUCUGUAAAUGACGGGUCAUUUCUCAUUUUUUCUGAAUGUCUCCAACAUGGAUUCCAAAGCAUUUUCAGCAUCAAACAUGAAAACAUUGAUGAAUGAGGAAUUAUCACAAAAGCCGUGUAUCUGUAUAUAGCUCUACACAACAUGUUUGUGAGUACAGAGUCAUUAUUCAAAGCACAUGCCAGGGAAAGAGACCAAAUUUUGAGGUCUUUUACAUACAGUGACAUGGUACUAAGGGGAACUAAACUCCUACUGCUUCCUCUGGAGAUUAAAAAAAAAUUAAAAGUUGUUAGAACUUCAUAGAACUCAUGACCAAGUCUGGCAAACAUGUGCAACUCUUGUAUUGAUCCAUUUUCUUGUCAAUGGAAGAAACUCUUCCAUGUGUAUGCAAGUGGGAGAUGAAAAUCUGCAUUUUUAAAAGACAAACCGUGAAUUUAAGCAUGAGUGGCCUUAAUAAAAUAGUUGUCUUUCUUUGCUGCUGUGGAAAGGAUUCUAAACAGAUGUUCCCGAAGUCUUGCAUUGAAUUUAGUCAUUGUUACUUUUUAAAGUGUUGGUGCAGUUAACUCUGGACCUCUCCCAUGGAGCCAUAGCGAUAUUUAAGACAGUCACCUUGUUUGUGGGGGAAGAUGAAGCUGUGUCUGAGUUGCACUGUCCAUCCUUGGUGCAUUAGGAGUAAUAUAUUCAAGCAGGUUUCUCGCUUCUGGCUUUGUUCUUGUCGUCAGUAAGUAUAGCGAACUAUGUAAAGCUUAUGUGUUGCAUAAACAAUCCAAAUACAUUCAUGUUUAAAAUUUUGUCCUUUACCUAUUAGAGGAUCUAGACCUUGAUUGGAGAAAUGAGCAGAGUUCUUUGCAAGCGUAUUUAGCACAUUUUGACAUAAUGUCGCACUGAAAACCCAGGCCACAAACACAUCCCCGUGAACAGUUUGGGUGUCCUCAAAUAGGCAGUCCUCACUGCCUCCUACAGCCAGGUCCUCAUCUGAACUCUGCAACUGAAUACUUGAAGUAGGAAGUCAGAAAUCCUCGAAACAGAAAAAGCAACCAACUGUGUAUAGUUAGCUCCUUCUAAGUAUGUGCCAAUUGUGUCACAGCUAUUGUUUUGGGGGUCAUUUUUUGGCCCCACUUUUGUUGGUUUAAAGUAUUAUUGAUCUUUCCUUUAUGGGAGCAUAUCAUUUAGUCCUUUAAAAAUUAAAUUCUAUCUAACAUAGCAUCUUUUCCCAUUUCAUGAAAUAGUCUCUGAUAUUGGGGUUACCAAAAAAAAAUUCCCUUUUUGUGUAUGAAAAAUAGUCUCUGGGUUUACAACAAACACUGUGAUGUUGGGAAGAUUAUUUCCUUUGCGCAAACUUUCGCAGGUUCCCCUCUAAUCAUAAUGAAGUUGAAAAAAAAAAAAAAGUUGAGGCUAACCUUUAGGAGAAGUUGGUCUUCUUGCUUUGUGCAAAAGCAGGCUUGUACUUUAUACCCUGUUUGAUUUCGAUGUACAGUCUCGAUUUUGUAUUUAAUGAUUUUUGUGUAUCCAGUAUGCACGUUAACAGCGUGUCAACUUUCAUUUGAAAGUGGGUUUCAAUUUACUUUUUAAACAGUGUUUAUGACGAGACCUCAAAUGUGUUGACAUAAGCUCUAUCUGAGAUGUUUUUGUGCCGAGUGGCGUUCGAAUGCUGCCAGGGGUCAGUGUAUCUAAUUCUCAGAGACCCUCAUUUGAUAGUGCUUCUUGUAACUUUUCUUCAAGUGAGUGGCAUGUGGGUUGUGAUAUUGACCAUGUGAUUAUGGACUUCGAUAUGAAAAAAAUAAAUAAAACUAAGGAACCCUCAGAAACUACCAGUGGGCAUGUAUUAGCCAGUCAUUGUAACCUCGUGUCUAGUAGAAGUACAAUGUACAAGGUAUGUACAGUUCAUAAAUUUGUUAUCAUGUGUAUGAGAAGUACGUUGUGCUGAUCGCCUUAUUUAUAUUCAUCAAAUAAACUUUGUUUCUUUCUGAA